GGGAAACAUCAGCCCCCAUCACACACCCCAAGGUCAUGUGACUGGGGGCAAACGAGAGUUCCAAGGGUGGCAGGCUCUUCUCUGGCCCUGCCCUUUGGUGCCUAGGCUGGGUGUGGGAACAGAACGCCCCAGCUCGGCCCUAGAGAUGAGCUACCCUGGUAAAGAUAAGGCAGGGGAGAGGAAUGGGGAGCGCCCCAAACCUUCCUGGGGGGACCCUGAGGGUCUAGGAUCUGGGGGGCCGCCCUGCGCUGAUGGAAGGAAGGAGGCUGCUCCCCAAUUGUGCUGUGGGGGCGGUGAACGCUGAACUCACCGAAGAGUUCUCAGCUGCCCCUUGCCCAUCCAUGGAUGUCACCCACCAGAGCACAGCUCUUCCUGAAAUGGAUAUUCCAUCUCUCUGCCAAGAUCAAGGCACAGGAGAAUAAAUAUAGAUUCAGAACUGGAAGAACCUAAUACAGCUCCAUCGUUUUACAGAUGAAGAAAGUGAGGCCCAAGAAAUUAAGUGACUUACCCAAGGUCACACAAAGAGCAAGCACCCGGG